GCCAGGCGUGGUGGCGCAUGCCUGUAAUCCCAGCUACUCAGGAGGCUGAGGCAGGAGAAUUGCUUGAACCCGGGAGGCGGAGGUUGCAGUGAGCUGAGAUCUCACCACCGCACUUCAACCUGGGCAACAGAGCGAGACUCUGUCUCAA
rnacentral:SRP_RNA from 2 species